UAAUGCUUGGGAACUUGCCUUUGCGAGGGGGAUAACAGUUGGAAACGACUGCUAAUACCGCAUAAUGUCUACGGACCAAACGGGGCUUAGGCUUCGGCGCAGAGAGAGGCCCAAGUGAGAUUAGCUAGUUGGUGGGGUAAAGGCUCACCAAGGCGACGAUCUCUAGCUGUUCUGAGAGGAAGAUCAGCCACACUGGGACUGAGACACGGCCCAGACUCCUACGGGAGGCAGCAGUGGGGAAUAUUGCACAAUGGGGGGAACCCUGAUGCAGCCAUGCCGCGUGUGUGAAGAAGGCCUUCGGGUUGUAAAGCACUUUCAGUUGUGAGGAAAAGUGAGUAGUUAAUACCUGCUCACCGUGACGUUAACAACAGAAGAAGCACCGGCUAACUCCGUGCCAGCAGCCGCGGUAAUACGGAGGGUGCGAGCGUUAAUCGGAAUUACUGGGCGUAAAGCGCACGCAGGCGGUUUGUUAAGCUAGAUGUGAAAGCCCCGAGCUCAACUUGGGAUGGUCAUUUAGAACUGGCAGACUAGAGUCUUGGAGAGGGGAGUGGAAUUCCAGGUGUAGCGGUGAAAUGCGUAGAUAUCUGGAGGAACAUCAGUGGCGAAGGCGACUCCCUGGCCAAAAGACUGACGCUCAUGUGCGAAAGUGUGGGUAGCGAACAGGAUUAGAUACCCUGGUAGUCCACACCGUAAACGCUGUCUACUAGCUGUUUGUGGCUUUAAGCCGUGAGUAGCGAAGCUAACGCGAUAAGUAGACCGCCUGGGGAGUACGGCCGCAAGGUUAAAACUC
rnacentral:rRNA from 1 species